AUUUUCAAGCGACCGGUUAUCAAGGUUACCAAGCUGCCUGUAUAAUACGAUGCUCACUUUGUACUGGUGCGUAUGGACGUCCCAUAUCCUUGUCUAUUAUCCACCACUAUGUAUGUUAUUUUGUAUUCUGAUUUAUUUGAUGUUCGUGUAUAAAAUGUUAUAGUUUAAAAAUUUACAUAAUUAGUAAUUAUCUUAGUAUUGUUUAUAACUGUAAUGCCGUUGAUUGCGCCAAAUACAUGAAAACCAGGACAAGCAAGUUUGAAAGCUCACUGCUUUCAAAGGCGGGAGGAUGUUCAGUGCCGACUCCGGCGGCGACCAUAUUUAUUUUUGUCGUGGGUCUACGCCGAUAAGGCGUAGAAUCUUCUAGAAUGUUGUGUGGUGUAUAUCAUUUUAAUACAGUCCACUUUUUAAGAUUGAAAACUCGCCGAAGUUGUUAAUUAUUUAUUAUUAUUAAUAACCUAUAUCUUUAGGCGAGUAAUUAUUACCUAACCGUACCUAUAUACAUAUAAAAAUAUUAUAAUAAUAUAUUAUUUAUGUUUGAAUUCAUUAGAAUAAUGGCGUAUCAGACGUCGCUCCCAAACCGGUCGACAUCCAUCUGCAUGACUCAUUCCACAAGAAUGAGCGGUAUAGUUUGAAAACUUACCAAAGUUAUCUGGUGGAUGACGAUACGUUGGUGAGCAGCCGUCGCACAUCGGUCUGAUGUACCUAUGGAAAGUUAUUAUUGGAUCGGUCAUAAUAUUACGUUGAGAAAUUAUCUGUCCAUAAACUUAUUUUCAGAUUUGUAGGCCAAUUCCGUUGUCAUUUUUUAAUCAUUCUUUUUUUUUUUUAUUAAGGUUGAGGUGUAACAGCAUUUUAGGGGCUAUUGUAAUUCCCACAUCCAGGACUUUAUCAUACAUACAGCCGACAGCUCGAUGACCUACAUUUUUGUGUAUUCUGGUCUACCCUAUGAUGGCCGCGAAGUAACGAUCACGUCACCGUUUAUCAGAUUGCCCAGUUUGAAAAAAUAUCCAACAAUUUCAUCGGAUAGGUACGCCAUAAAUCGUGGCAUAGCGCUGGGCCAGCAUCAUUUUGUCCGGAUCAAUAUCUACAAAAAUGACAUCCCAAUUAUUAGAAGCUAAUGAUAUAGUGUCUUUGUCGAACAGUCAGCUGUACGAAGUUUCCGCUGUGCCACAAAACAGGUCGACGCCGGUCGCUGAACAUGCAUCGUAUUGAUGAAUCAACAAUACAUCUUACAUUUUACAUCUAACAUCUUACAUCUUACAUCUAUCAUUGCAAUCUUAUAAAUUAUAAUUAUUCACCUGAAUGCAUGUAAUCCUGAAUGUACAGUUAAUUUAUUACUACCCAUCUACAAA